AAGUUUAGGUUAAUUUAAACCGAGAGUCUUCAAAACUCUCAACAGGGACCUACAUCCCUAACUUCUG
rnacentral:tRNA from 1 species